rnacentral:rRNA from 1 species
AUAAUGGGUCAGCGACUUAUAUUCUGUAGCAAGGUUAACCGAAUAGGGGAGCCGAAGGGAAACCGAGUCUUAACUGGGCGUUAAGUUGCAGGGUAUAGACCCGAAACCCGGUGAUCUAGCCAUGGGCAGGUUGAAGGUUGGGUAACACUAACUGGAGGACCGAACCGACUAAUGUUGAAAAAUUAGCGGAUGACUUGUGGCUGGGGGUGAAAGGCCAAUCAAACCGGGAGAUAGCUGGUUCUCCCCGAAAGCUAUUUAGGUAGCGCCUCGUGAAUUCAUCUCCGGGGGUAGAGCACUGUUUCGGCAAGGGGGUCAUCCCGACUUACCAACCCGAUGCAAACUGCGAAUACCGGAGAAUGUUAUCACGGGAGACACACGGCGGGUGCUAACGUCCGUCGUGAAGAGGGAAACAACCCAGACCGCCAGCUAAGGUCCCAAAGUCAUGGUUAAGUGGGAAACGAUGUGGGAAGGCCCAGACAGCCAGGAUGUUGGCUUAGAAGCAGCCAUCAUUUAAAGAAAGCGUAAUAGCUCACUGGUCGAGUCGGCCUGCGCGGAAGAUGUAACGGGGCUAAACCAUGCACCGAAGCUGCGGCAGCGACGCUUAUGCGUUGUUGG